AGCAGGCGGACGGGUGAGUAAUGCAUAGGAAUCUGCCCGGUAGUGGGGGAUAACUUGAGGAAACUCAAGCUAAUACCGCAUACGCCCUACGGGGGAAAGCAGGGGCUCUUCGGACCUUGCGCUAUCGGAUGAGCUUAUGUCGGAUUAGCUGGUUGGUGAGGUAACGGCUCACCAAGGCGACGAUCCGUAGCUGGUCUGAGAGGAUGAUCAGCCACAUCGGGACUGAGACACGGCCCGAACUCCUACGGGAGGCAGCAGUGGGGAAUAUUGGACAAUGGGGGCAACCCUGAUCCAGCCAUGCCGCGUGUGUGAAGAAGGCCCUCGGGUUGUAAAGCACUUUCAGCGAGGAAGAAUGCUUGUCGGUUAAUACCCGGCAAGGGAGACAUCACUCGCAGAAGAAGCACCGGCUAACUCCGUGCCAGCAGCCGCGGUAAUACGGAGGGUGCGAGCGUUAAUCGGAAUUACUGGGCGUAAAGCGUGCGUAGGCGGCUUGAUAAGCCGGUUGUGAAAGCCCCGGGCUCAACCUGGGAACGGCAUCCGGAACUGUUAGGCUAGAGUGCAGGAGAGGAAGGUAGAAUUCCCGGUGUAGCGGUGAAAUGCGUAGAG
rnacentral:rRNA from 1 species